rnacentral:rRNA from 1 species
UAAUUAAAUAUUAUAUAUGAUUAAUCUAUGUUUUAGACUUAUAAAGCAUUUAUUUUUUUAGUAAAGAUGAUUGAAUUCAGUAUUUCAGGCUAAGUACUGUAAAGGAAGAGUGAAAUUCUUAUUUAGCAGCAGAAAAUUGC